GACGAACGCUGGCGGCGUGCCUAAUACAUGCGAGUUGAGCGCUGAAGGUUGGUACUUGUACCAACUGGAUGAGCAGCGAACGGGUGAGUAACGCGUGGGGAAUCUGCCUUUGAGCGGGGGACAACAUUUGGAAACGAAUGCUAAUACCGCAUAAAAACUUUAAACACAAGUUUUAAGUUUGAAAGAUGCAAUUGCAUCACUCAAAGAUGAUCCCGCGUUGUAUUAGCUGGUUGGUGAGGUAAAGGCUCACCAAGGCGAUGAUACAUAGCCGACCUGAGAGGGUGAUCGGCCACAUUGGGACUGAGACACGGCCCAAACUCCUACGGGAGGCAGCAGUAGGGAAUCUUCGGCAAUGGACGAAAGUCUGACCGAGCAACGCCGCGUGAGUGAAGAAGGUUGUCGGAUCGUAAAACUCUGUUGGUAGAGAAGAACGUUGGUGAGAGUGGAAAGCUCAUCAAGUGACGGUAACUACCCAGAAAGGGACGGCUAACUACGUG
rnacentral:rRNA from 1 species